CAUGCAAGUCGAACGAGAGAGAAGGAGCUUGCUUCUUCGAUCGAGUGGCGAACGGGUGAGUAACGCGUGAGGAACCUGGCUCAAAGAGGGGGACAACAGUUGGAAACGACUGCUAAUACCGCAUAAGCCCACGGGUCGGCAUCGACCUGAGGGAAAAGGAGCAAUCCGCUUUGAGAUGGCCUCGCGUCCGAUUAGCUAGUUGGUGAGGUAACGGCCCACCAAGGCGACGAUCGGUAGCCGGACUGAGAGGUUGAACGGCCACAUUGGGACUGAGACACGGCCCAGACUCCUACGGGAGGCAGCAGUGGGGAAUAUUGCACAAUGGGGGAAACCCUGAUGCAGCGACGCCGCGUGGAGGAAGAAGGUCUUCGGAUUGUAAACUCCUGUUGUUGAGGAAGAUAAUGACGGUACUCAACAAGGAAGUGACGGCUAACUACGUGCCAGCAGCCGCGGUAAAACGUAGGUCACAAGCGUUGUCCGGAAUUACUGGGUGUAAAGGGAGCGCAGGCGGGAAGACAAGUUGGAAGUGAAAUCUAUGGGCUCAACCCAUAAACUGCUUUCAAAACUGUUUUUCUUGAGUAGUGCAGAGGUAGGCGGAAUUCCCGGUGUAGCGGUGGAAUGCGUAGAUAUCGGGAGGAACACCAGUGGCGAAGGCGGCCUACUGGGCACCAACUGACGCUGAGGCUCGAAAGUGUGGGUAGCAAACAGGAUUAGAUACCCUGGUAGUCCACACCGUAAACGAUGAUUACUAGGUGUUGGAGGAUUGACCCCUUCAGUGCCGCAGUUAACACAAUAAGUAAUCCACCUGGGGAGUACGACCGCAAGGUUGAAACUCAAAGGAAUUGACGGGGGCCCGCACAAGCAGUGGAGUAUGUGGUUUAAUUCGACGCAACGCGAAGAACCUUACCAAGUCUUGACAUCCCUUGACGAACAUAGAA
rnacentral:rRNA from 1 species